GAUGAACGCUGGCGGCGUGCCUAAUACAUGCAAGUCGAGCGAACAGACGAGGAGCUUGCUCCUCUGACGUUAGCGGCGGACGGGUGAGUAACACGUGGAUAACCUACCUAUAAGACUGGGAUAACUUCGGGAAACCGGAGCUAAUACCGGAUAAUAUAUUGAACCGCAUGGUUCAAUAGUGAAAGACUGUUUUGCUGUCACUUAUAGAUGGAUCCGCGCCGCAUUAGCUAGUUGGUAAGGUAACGGCUUACCAAGGCAACGAUGCGUAGCCGACCUGAGAGGGUGAUCGGCCACACUGGAACUGAGACACGGUCCAGACUCCUACGGGAGGCAGCAGUAGGGAAUCUUCCGCAAAGGGCGAAAGCCUGACGGAGCAACGCCGCGUGAGUGAUGAAGGUCUUCGGAUCGUAAAACUCUGUUAUUAGGGAAGAACAAAUGUGUAAGUAACUAUGCACGUCUUGACGGUACCUAAUCAGAAAGCCACGGCUAACUACGUG
rnacentral:rRNA from 1 species